rnacentral:rRNA from 1 species
UCUACGGGGGGCAGCAGUGAGGAAUAUUGGUCAAUGGACGAGAGUCUGAACCAGCCAAGUAGCGUGAAGGAUGACUGCCCUAUGGGUUGUAAACUUCUUUUAUAAAGGAAUAAAACGCGGCACGUGUGCCUUUUUGCAUGUACUUUAUGAAUAAGGACCGGCUAAUUCCGUGCCAGCAGCCGCGGUAAUACGGAGGAUCCGAGCGUUAUCCGGAUUUAUUGGGUUUAAAGGGAGCGUAGAUGGGUUGUUAAGUCAGCUGUGAAAGUUUGUGGCUCAACCGUAAAAUUGCAAUUGAUACUGGCAGGCUUGAGUACAGGUAAGGUAGGCGGAAUUCGUGGUGUAGCGGUGAAAUGCUUAGAUAUCACGAAGAACCCCGAUUGCGAAGGCAGCUUACGAAAGUGUGACUGACAUUGAUGCUCGAAGGUGUGGGUAUCGAACAGGAUUAGAUACCCCAGUAGUC